rnacentral:rRNA from 1 species
UUCGGGCCUUGCGCUAUUCGAGCGGCCGAUAUCUGAUUAGCUAGUUGGUGGGGUAAAGGCCUACCAAGGCGACGAUCAGUAGCGGGUCUGAGAGGAUGAUCCGCCACACUGGGACUGAGACACGGCCCAGACUCCUACGGGAGGCAGCAGUGGGGAAUUUUGGACAAUGGGCGCAAGCCUGAUCCAGCCAUGCCGCGUGUCUGAAGAAGGCCUUCGGGUUGUAAAGGACUUUUGUCAGGGAAGAAAAGGCUGUUGCUAAUAUCAGCGGCUGAUGACGGUACCUGAAGAAUAAGCACCGGCUAACUACGUGCCAGCAGCCGCGGUAAUACGUAGGGUGCGAGCGUUAAUCGGAAUUACUGGGCGUAAAGCGGGCGCAGACGGUUACUUAAGCAGGAUGUGAAAUCCCCGGGCUCAACCCGGGAACUGCGUUCUGAACUGGGUGACUCGAGUGUGUCAGAGGGAGGUAGAAUUCCACGUGUAGCAGUGAAAUGCGUAGAGAUGUGGAGGAAUACCGAUGGCGAAGGCAGCCUCCUGGGACAACACUGACGUUCAUGCCCGAAAGCGUGGGUAGCAAACAGGAUUAGAUACCCUGGUAGUCCACGCCCUAAACGAUGUCAAUUAGCUGUUGGGCAACUUGAUUGCUUAGUAGCGUAGCUAACGCGUGAAAUUGACCGCCUGGGGAGUACGGUCGCAAGAUUAAAACUCAAAGGAAUUGACGGGGACCCGCACAAGCGGUGGAUGAUGUGGAUUAAUUCGAUGCAACGCGAAGAACCUUACCUGGUCUUGACAUGUACGGAAUCCUCCAGAGACGGAGGAGUGCCUUCGGGAGCCGUAACACAGGUGCUGCAUGGCUGUCGUCAGCUCGUGUCGUGAGAUGUUGGGUUAAGUCCCGCAACGAGCGCAACCCUUGUCAUUAGUUGCCAUCAUUCAGUUGGGCACUCUAAUGAGACUGCCGGUGACAAGCCGGAGGAAGGUGGGGAUGACGUCAAGUCCUCAUGGCCCUUAUGACCAGGGCUUCACACGUCAUACAAUGGUCGGUACAGAGGGUAGCCAAGCCGCGAGGCGGAGCCAAUCUCACAAAACCGAUCGUAGUCCGGAUUGCACUCUGCAACUCGAGUGCAUGAAGUCGGAAUCGCUAGUAAUCGCAGGUCAGCAUACUGCGGUGAAUACGUUCCCGGGUCUUGUACACACCGCCCGUCACACCAUGGGAGUGGGGGAUACCAGAAGUAGGUAGGGUAACCGCAAGGAGUCCGCUUACCACGGUAUGCUUCAUGACUGGGGUGAAGUCGUAACAAGGUAGCCGUAGGGGAACCUGCGGCUGGAUCACCUCCUUU